rnacentral:rRNA from 1 species
CUACGGGGCGCAGCAGUGGGGAAUAUUGGACAAUGGGGGCAACCCUGAUCCAGCAAUGCCGCGUGUGUGAAGAAGGCCUGCGGGUUGUAAAGCACUUUCAGUGGGGAAGAUUAUGACGGUACCCACAGAAGAAGCACCGGCUAACUCCGUGCCAGCAGCCGCGGUAAUACGGAGGGUGCAAGCGUUAAUCGGAAUUACUGGGCGUAAAGCGCGCGUAGGCGGUUUGAUAAGUCGGAUGUGAAAGCCCCGGGCUUAACCUGGGAAUUGCAUUCGAUACUGUCUGGCUAGAGUAUGGUAGAGGGAAGUGGAAUUCCGGGUGUAGCGGUGAAAUGCGUAGAUAUCCGGAGGAACACCAGUGGCGAAGGCGGCUUCCUGGACCAAUACUGACGCUGAGGUGCGAAAGCGUGGGGAGCAAACAUGAUUAGAUACCCGAGUAGUC